UUCCCGACAAACCAAUCCAUCCUCCCACCGUCCCACGCUCGUCGACGCUGUCUUCCUCUCGCUCGUCGACGGCCACCGCCUCCCGGCGCUGCUUCCCCUCUGCCCCACGCCGCCUCCUUGCGCGCACGCCCCGCGUCGCGGCGUUGCCUCCGCCCCACUCUCCUUGUCCCGCAUCGCCGGCGGCCGCUCCUUCCCUCGUGGCCCGGCACCCACUGAUUUAGUGCUUAAAUUGGGGAUUUUUCUAUCGAUCUCUCGCGGUGGCGGUGGUGACGGCGCGGCGAAGCUCGAUUCGAGUUGGCGGAGAUCCAAUCGUUGUGUUGCUGCUCGUGGCGGCAACGCGGAGCUCCAAUCCGGUGUUGUUGCUGGAUUCGGCCGAGGUCGUGGUAAAAAUGGUUUCUUUGCUGGAUUCGGCCGAGGCGCGGAGGAGAGGGAGCCGUGGUGCUGCGGCGAGAGGGCCAAGCUGCGACGACAGCUGCCCCGACCCGGACAGCAUCGUCCAGGCGCGCGUGUAUGAAGGCCGAGGCUCCACUUCCACGACUCGUCAACGACACCAAGACGCAGAGGAAUUGCCAUCCCAAGCUCCUCCCCAAGCUACUGUCCGGAGCUGCUGCUGCCUCGCCGAGCUACUGUCGAGCACAUCCACAUGAAGAUGCUGCAGACGUCAUGCCCCUCGGUACCCGCGAUGCAUUCUGAUCCAGGGAAGAGCUUUCGGAAGAUGUAGACAAAUAUGCAGCCUUUGGCGUCUUCAUAUUCGUUUGAUGUUCAGUCACUGCAGAAAG